rnacentral:rRNA from 1 species
UACGUAGGGUGCAAGCGUUGUCCGGAAUUACUGGGCGUAAAGAGCUCGUAGCGGUUUGUCGCGUCGUCUGUGAAAUCCCGCAGCUCAACUGCGGGCUUGCAGGCGAUACGGGCAGACUUGAGUACUGCAGGGGAGACUGGAAUUCCUGGUGUAGCGGUGAAAUGCGCAGAUAUCAGGAGGAACACCGGUGGCGAAGGCGGGUCUCUGGGCAGUAACUGACGCUGAGGAGCGAAAGCGUGGGUAGCGAACAGG